UGUGCCAAGAUCUCAACUGGAGCUCUGGCCCAGUCUCCAAAAAAAUGGGCAGAAAAGGUUCCUCCUCGCUGUACCUUUACCUUGCUCCAUGGAAGGACUGAGAAAACUGCAAAGGCAACAAGAUUGCAAGGAUACUGGUUUCAAGUCUGCCAACUGUGUGUGCCCUCCUGCUAGUAAGAAAGGAGUUAAGAGGAGUGGAGAUAAAAGCAGCUGGGAUCUAUCAAGCAAUCAGGGCCCUCUGCCAGGGAAGAGAGGGACUGGGGCUAAGAGGAUGGCUUUGAUCCUAGAAAGAGAGAACUGGAGGUCAGGAAGUAUGAAAAGUUCACACAAAUGCAGCCAGGGAUGCUUAGAAAGUAAUUUAAGGAGAAACAAACUGAAAACCCAGCCGACUACUGGAUAGCUUGAGUCACAUAAAUGUUUACAAGUGCAAAAACAGUCAUCCUUCUAUGCCAUACCAGGAAGCAGGUGAUAUGGGAGAGAAUUAUACAUACCAGAGGAGAGGGCUGGAACUAAGUGAUCUUUAAGGUCCAUUACAAACCAAGCCAUUCUGUCGCACUGUCUUGGUGAGCAUUUGCCUGCAUUCCCAAGGAGGCUAAUCCAUCCUAGAUACAGUACGUGUAACUUCCGGGAAGUCUAAAGUGCUUCAACGAUAAGGAACGUGCGGUGUUCUCUGAAAUCGCUGUUUCACUCAGGCAGAUGUGCAUGCAUAUAUCUGCAGGAGACAACCAUAAAGCAUCAUCCUGAAGUCAUCCUAGCUAAAAAAAAAACAACCCAGCUCCAAAGAAACCACCAGAUGCUGAGACUUUACAUUCCUGAGGAAGAGAACUGCUCAGUAAAUACUCCUACACUGCCUGCAAGACUCAAAAAUCAAGAUAACUGGGUUUUCUCUUCUGCAAAAUGGAAGUGAAAAGGAAGCCUCUGUUCAGAAAGUGCCCAUGAAUACUCAAGGCAAGCUGUAGCACUGUCUGUUCAGUCCAGGUCACACUAAAUCCUGACGUGAGAAAAGCACUGUAACAGAAGUGUUGCAAUUUUUGGUCCCCCCCCCUUCACUAACUCUGAUGGCUCCUCAGCAAAAAUUCCUAG
ensembl:lncRNA